GUCUCUGUGGUGCAAUCGGUUAGCACAUUCGGCUGUUAACUGAAAGGUUGGUGGUUCAAGCCCACCCAGGGAGGCG